GAAACCAGGAGCAGGAAACUGACCGUGA
rnacentral:sRNA from 1 species